rnacentral:rRNA from 1 species
AUGGGGCUCGAGGGGCAAACGGCGGCGGCGGCGGUGCACGGGCACCGGCUGUCGACGGUGGUGCCGAGCUCGGUGACGGAGGUGGAGGGGUACGGGCUGGGGGACGCGGACCUGGCGUUCCGGCUGCACUACCUGCGCGGGGUGUACUACUACGCGGCGGGGGAGGUGGUGCGCGGGGUGACCACCAAGGUGCUCAAGGACCCCAUGUUCCCCUGGCUGGACGCCUACUACCCCGUGGCCGGCCGCGUCCGCCGCCCCGCUGACGACGAGCAGGAGGCCUCGCGCCGGCCCUACGUCAAGUGCAACGACUGCGGCGUCCGCAUCGUGGAGGCCCGGUGCGAGCGCGCGCUGGACGAGUGGCUCCGCGACGGCGCCGUCGACCGCGUCCGCCAGCUCUGCUACGACAAGGUGCUCGGCCCCGAGCUCUUCUUCUCCCCGCUGCUCUACGUCCAGGUCACAAACUUCAAGUGUGGAGCGAUGGCGCUGGGGUUCAGCUGGGCGCACCUCAUCGGCGACGUGGCCACGGCGACCACCUGCUUCAACCACUGGGCAAAGAUACUGGGCGGCAAGACGCCAGGCGCCGUCACCGUCAACCCCAAGAACGAGCCGCAGGACCGCGCGCCCGCCGACGCCGCCGUGCCGCGCUCCGUGAAGCCGGUCGGGCCCAUCGAGGACUACUGGUUUGUCCCCGCCGGCGUCGACAUGGCGGGCUACUCCUUCCACGUCACCGAGCCGAUGCUCACGAGGCUGCAGCAGCAGGAGCCAGCGGCUGCCGGCGGCGCCUUCGAGCUCAUCUCGGCGCUCCUGUGGCAGACGGUGGCGAAGAUCAGGGCCGGCAAGGAGGUGAAGACGGUGACGGUGGUGAGGAACGACAUGUCGGCCAGGAGCGGCAACUCCCUGGCCAACGAGCAGAGGGUCGGGUACGUGGAGGCGGGCUCGCCGCCGGCCAAGUCCGACGUGUCCGAGCUGGCGGCGCUGCUGGCCAAGAACGUCGUCGACGAGACCGCGGCGGUGGUGGCGUUCCCGGGGGACGUGGUCAUCUACGGCGCGAACCUGACCUUCGUGGACAUGGAGCAGGUGGACCUGUACGGGCUGGAGAUCAAGGGGCAGCGGCCCGCGCACGUGGAGUACGGCUUGGACGGCGUCGGCGAGGAGGGCGCCGUGCUGGUGCAGCCGGACGCCGACGGGCGCGGCCGCGUCGUCACGGCGGUGCUGCCCAAGGACGAGGUGGAGGCCCUCCGCGCCGCGCUCGGGAGCACGCUCCUGCAGCCGGCUCCCUGA